rnacentral:rRNA from 1 species
CGUAGGGUGCAAGCGUUGUCCGGAAUUAUUGGGCGUAAAGAGCUCGUAGGCGGUCUGUCGCGUCGGCUGUGAAAACUUGGGGCUCAACUCCGAGCUUGCAGUCGAUACGGGCAGGCUAGAGUUCGGCAGGGGAGACUGGAAUUCCUGGUGUAACGGUGAAAUGCGCAGAUAUCAGGAGGAACACCGGUGGCGAAGGCGGGUCUCUGGGCCGAUACUGACGCUGAGGAGCGAAAGCGUGGGGAGCGAACAGGAUUAGAUACCCUGGUAGUCCACGCCGUAAACGUUGGGCGCUAGGUGUGGGAUCCCUUCCACGGGUUCCGUGCCGCAGCUAACGCAUUAAGCGCCCCGCCUGGGGAGUACGGCCGCAAGGCUA